GUGUUUAUUGUGUUGAGUUUUUACUAAUUUUGUUCUAGCUGUAUAUUUUCAGGUUCCCGGACGGGGGACGACGCUGGAGGACGACGCUGGAGGACGACGUUGGAGGACCAAGGCCGGCCAACAGAAGAAGAGGAAUUUAUUGUCUAGUUAUGUACAGUGCAUCCUAUUAGUGAAAAGGCGGAAGACAGUUAACGCUGAUCCAGAUGCCUUAGUGAGACAGAGCUUGUCUCCCAUUCAACUGGAGCCCCCUACUGGAAGAUGCGGAUGCAGACCGAUGGGGCCCGUCAGAAGAUGAACGCAAGGAGCCGAUUCCGCAACCAGGAAGCCUAUUAGAGAAGUGCCAUUUAUGUCUCCCUUUCUUAUUUUUUGUCUGUUUCCUGUAUCCUCCCUACGCUAACAUAACUAAAACUUAUCUUCUCCUCCCCAUCCUCUUCCUCCAUUUUACUCUUUCCUGAUCUAAUUGCUUAAAUUGUCUUCAUUUUCUUAAUCGAUUUGUUCAUCUCAUCUUCGUUUAAUGUUUGUGUUUAUGUCAAUUUCUCGAAUUAUUUGUGUUUAUUGUGUUGAGUUUUUACUAAUUUUGUUCUAGCUGUAUAUUUUCAGGUUCCCGGACGGGGGACGACGCUGGAGGACGACGCUGGAGGACGACGUUGGAGGACCAAGGCCGGCCAACAGAAGAAGAGGAAUUUAUUGUCUAGUUAUGUACAGUGCAUCCUAUUAGUGAAAAGGCGGAAGACAGUUAACGCUGAUCCAGAUGCCUUAGUGAGACAGAGCUUGUCUCCCAUUCAACUGGAGCCCCCUACUGGAAGAUGCGGAUGCAGACCGAUGGGGCCCGUCAGAAGAUGAACGCAAGGAGCCGAUUCCGCAACCAGGAAGCCUAUUAGAGAAGUGCCAUUUAUGUCUCCCUUUCUUAUUUUUUGUCUGUUUCCUGUAUCCUCCCUACGCUAACAUAACUAAAACUUAUCUUCUCCUCCCCAUCCUCUUCCUCCAUUUUACUCUUUCCUGAUCUAAUUGCUUAAAUUGUCUUCAUUUUCUUAAUCGAUUUGUUCAUCUCAUCUUCGUUUAAUGUUUGUGUUUAUGUCAAUUUCUCGAAUUAUUUGUGUUUAUUGUGUUGAGUUUUUACUAAUUUUGUUCUAGCUGUAUAUUUUCAGGUUCCCGGACGGGGGACGACGCUGGAGGACGACGCUGGAGGACGACGUUGGAGGACCAAGGCCGGCCAACAGAAGAAGAGGAAUUUAUUGUCUAGUUAUGUACAGUGCAUCCUAUUAGUGAAAAGGCGGAAGACAGUUAACGCUGAUCCAGAUGCCUUAGUGAGACAGAGCUUGUCUCCCAUUCAACUGGAGCCCCCUACUGGAAGAUGCGGAUGCAGACCGAUGGGGCCCGUCAGAAGAUGAACGCAAGGAGCCGAUUCCGCAACCAGGAAGCCUAUUAGAGAAGUGCCAUUUAUGUCUCCCUUUCUUAUUUUUUGUCUGUUUCCUGUAUCCUCCCUACGCUAACAUAACUAAAACUUAUCUUCUCCUCCCCAUCCUCUUCCUCCAUUUUACUCUUUCCUGAUCUAAUUGCUUAAAUUGUCUUCAUUUUCUUAAUCGAUUUGUUCAUCUCAUCUUCGUUUAAUGUUUGUGUUUAUGUCAAUUUCUCGAAUUAUUUGUGUUUAUUGUGUUGAGUUUUUACUAAUUUUGUUCUAGCUGUAU